ensembl:lncRNA
GUAUGGAUCUCUGUCAUUGACCAACCAGUUCCAGAUCAUCCACUGUCAGAACACACUCAUUCUGAAAAGUUUGCCCUCUCUCUCUCAGCUCAAACUCCAUCAUUGGAUCACACAAUCUUCCUUACACCACUCUUGAAUGGCUCAGCCAGAGAUCUGUUUGUGAAGAUGAACAGUAGCGUCAGCGGUGUGGACGUGUCCGUCUCAGUCUGUGUAUUCAGCGUGCUGUGCCGUUCUUCAGUGCUGAUGAGAGCCGCUGCAGCAGUGACGGCUUGAGUCCUCUGAGUGGCAGCAGCCCCCCACACUGCCCACUGCCUCACACAACACCUCACUUUGUUUGGAUCCAUCCUGGUGCACUUCUACUGCUGCCACCUGUACCACUGCACAUGUUGGCAUUAGCCUGUAUGACCUGAAUAAAAGUGGCUCACGUCACCUUAAAAAAAAGGAGCUUUCCAGAGGAACAGCCUGGAUGACUUCCAAGUUGAAAC